UAGUAGUAGUUAUGUGCUUGAAAAUUAAAGAAGAUGGCGGUAUUUUAGUCUAUUCAGAGGAACCUGUCCUAUAAUCGAUGAUCCACGAUUUAUUAUACUUAUUUUAUAAGUUUGCAUAUCGCCGUAGAUUGAAUGUCCUUUAAGGGAUUUAAACAUUCAAGAGGUUUUUAUUGUGAAAUUAAAUCAGGUCAAGAUGUAGCCAAUAAAUAAGAAGAGAUGGGUUACAAUAAAUUUAUUUAUAACGGAUUAAUAUAUGAAAUUUAUUAUAAAGGUGGAUUUGAGGGUAAU
rnacentral:rRNA from 1 species